CAGUUCGGAUUGGAGUCUGCAACUCGACUCCAUGAAGCUGGAUUCGCUAGUAAUCGCGCAUCAGCCAUGGCGCGGUGAAUACGUUCCCGGGCCUUGUACACACCGCCCGUCAAGCCAUGGGAGCCGGGGGUGCCUGAAGUUCGUGACCGCAAGGAGCGACCUAGGGCAAAACUGGUGACUGGGGCUAAGUCGUAACAAGGUAAC
rnacentral:rRNA from 1 species